rnacentral:rRNA from 1 species
GACGAACGCUGGCGGCGUGCCUAAUACAUGCAAGUCGAGCGCAGGAAGCUGACGGAACUCUUCGGAGAGAAGGCAGUGGAAUGAGCGGCGGACGGGUGAGUAACACGUAAGGAACCUGCCUCAAGGAUUGGGAUAACUCCGAGAAAUCGGAGCUAAUACCGGAUAGUUCAACGGACCGCAUGGUCCGCUGAUGAAAGGCGCUUCGGCGUCACCUUGAGAUGGCCUUGCGGUGCAUUAGCUAGUUGGUGGGGUAACGGCCCACCAAGGCGACGAUGCAUAGCCGACCUGAGAGGGUGAUCGGCCACACUGGGACUGAGACACGGCCCAGACUCCUACGGGAGGCAGCAGUAGGGAAUCUUCCACAAUGGACGAAAGUCUGAUGGAGCAACGCCGCGUGAGUGAUGAAGGUUUUCGGAUCGUAAAACUCUGUUGUAAGGGAAGAACACGUACGAGAGGGAAUGCUCGUACCUUGACGGUACCUUACGAGAAAGCCACGGCUAACUACGUGCCAGCCGCCGCAGUAA